UACGUAGGGGGGCAAGCGUUGUCCGGAAUCAUUGGGCGUAAAGAGCGCGUAGGCGGCCCUGUAAGUCCGCUGUGAAAGUCAAGGGCUCAACCCUUGGAUGCCGGUGGAUACUGCAGGGCUAGAGUCCGGAAGAGGCGAGUGGAAUUCCUGGUGUAGCGGUGAAAUGCGCAGAUAUCAGGAGGAACACCGAUGGCGAAGGCAGCUCGCUGGGACGGUGACUGACGCUGAGGCGCGAAAGCGUGGGGAGCAAACAGG
rnacentral:rRNA from 1 species